CCUACGGGAGGCAGCAGUCGAGAAUCAUUCACAAUGGGGGAAACCCUGAUGGUGCGACGCCGCGUGGGGGAAUGAAGGUCUUCGGAUUGUAAACCCCUGUCAUGUGGGAGCAAAUUAAAAAGAUAGUACCACAAGAGGAAGAGACGGCUAACUCUGUGCCAGCAGCCGCGGUAAUACAGAGGUCUCAAGCGUUGUUCGGAAUCACUGGGGGUAAAGCGUGCGUAGGCUGUUUCGUAAGUCGUGUGUGAAAGGCGCGGGCUCAACCCGCGGACGGCACAUGAUACUGCGAGACUAGAGUAAGGGAGGGGGAACCGGAAUUCUCGGUGUAGCAGUGAAAUGCGUAGAUAUCGAGAGGAACACUCGUGGCGAAGGCGGGUUCCUGGACAUUAACUGACGCUGAGGCACGAAGGCCAGGGGAGCGAAAGGGAUUAGAUACCCCAGUAGUC
rnacentral:rRNA from 1 species